UGUUGGUGGAGAUUUCGUUC
rnacentral:misc_RNA from 1 species